rnacentral:rRNA from 1 species
UUAGGAAUUUUGCGCAAUGGGCGAAAGCCUGACGCAGCAACGCCGCGUGAGGGAAGACGGCUUUCGGGUUGUAAACCUCUUUUAGCAGGGACGAACACAAUGACGGUACCUGCAGAAAAAGCACCGGCUAACUACGUGCCAGCAGCCGCGGUAAUACGUAGGGUGCAAGCGUUAUUCGGAUUUAUUGGGCGUAAAGCGCAUGUAGGCGGUUCGGUAAGUCUGGUGUGAAAGCCCUCGACUCAAUCGAGGAAGUGCAUUGGAUACUGUCGAACUGGAGUACAGGAGGGGUGAGCGGAAUUCCAGGUGUAGAGGUGAAAUUCGUAGAUAUCUGGAGGAACAACAGCGGCGAAGGCGGCUCACUGGACUGUAACUGACGCUCAGAUGCGAUAGUGUGGGGAGCAAACAGG